rnacentral:rRNA from 1 species
GACGAACGCUGGCGGCGUGCUUAACACAUGCAAGUCGAACGGAAAGGCCCUGCUUUUGUGGGGUGCUCGAGUGGCGCACGGGUGAGUAACACGUGAGUAACCUGCCCUUGACUUUGGGAUAACUUCAGGAAACUGGGGCUAAUACCGGAUAGGAGCUCCUGCUGCAUGGUGGGGGUUGGAAAGUUUCGGCGGUUGGGGAUGGACUCGCGGCUUAUCAGCUUGUUGGUGGGGUAGUGGCUUACCAAGGCUUUGACGGGUAGCCGGCCUGAGCGGGUGACCGGCCACAUGGGGACUGAGAGACGGCCCAGACGCCUACGGGAGGCAGCAGUGGGGAAUAUGGCGCAAUGGGCGGAAGCCUGAGGCAGCAACGCCGCGUGCGGGAUGACGGCCUACGGGUUGAAAACCGCUUUCGCCGGUGACGAAGCGUGAGUGACGGUAAUGGGUAAAGAAGCACCGGCUAACUACGUG